CCCUACGGGAGGCAGCAGUGGGGAAUAUUGGGCAAUGGGCGCAAGCCUGACCCAGCGACGCCGCGUGAGGGAAGACGGUUUUCGGAUUGUAAACCUCUGUCGAGGGGGACUAAGGAAGUGACGGUACCCCUUGAGGAAGCCACGGCUAACUACGUGCCAGCAGCCGCGGUAAUACGUAGGUGGCAAGCGUUGUCCGGAAUUACUGGGUGUAAAGGGAGCGUAGGCGGGAAUGCAAGUUGAAUGUAUAAACGGUCGGCUCAACCGGCCGAAGCGUUCAAAACUGCAGUUCUUGAGGGGGGUAGAGG
rnacentral:rRNA from 1 species